CCCGCGGGUUGUGGUCGGAGCGCUGGCGGGGGCGGGAUCGUGACGUUAAGGGCGGUGCCCAGUCAGCGAGGUAGGUCGGGAAGGCAGCCGGCGGCCCCAGAUCUAGAACCGCUGCAGUGCCGAGCUUCCAGGGACGUGAAGCCGGAAAGCCAGGCGCCCUUCUUGACUGCGCCUAGGUGGAACUGGCCCUCCAGCAGCUUGAACGUAGCCUCUUUUCACACUGGUAGUUCCUGAACCUCUUGUGAAAUGAAAGAUGUUCCUCAUUCCAAGCUGAGGACGGAGAAAAGCCGUAAAGCUGACACUGGUAUCGCACUGUGAUAUUUGUUGUUUUCUAGGUUUGCCAUUUUCCCAUUCAACUUUGCGCAGUCUCAUCCACGCUGAUGACGCCACAAAUCCGUGUCUCUAACCUGGAUCCAGCUCAAAACCCCCAGACCCCUAUCAUUCAGCUCCCUAGGGGACAAUUUCAGCUGGAAGUCCUGCGAACUCCUCACAAUCCACUUAUGAAAAGCGCAUUCAUGUUUUCCUUUAGGACCCCUCUCCUACCACCAUCUCUGUUCCAGCUUGGUAAAACUGGCCAGUUGUCCAAGGCAAAGAGAAGAGCUCUAUCUGCAGUCAUCCCUCACACCUACCUCCACCCUAAGAUCAUGGUAUACGUUGUAAGGUCUUAAGACCCUCAUUUGAGAGAUGCCUUCCCUGUACCUGGAGGAAAGAAACAUCUUUAUCUCUGAAGACACAGGGCCACAGAGAAGAGUCUGAACAAACAGGCUUUACCAAUUUCCCCCAGUUGUUACCGUUAGAUCAGACCUUUGUCCAGUCAUAUCCUUCCACAAGUUGUCCACUCAUCAACCCUAAGCAUAAAAAUGCACAAGUUUCCUUGUUUGUUUGGGUCUUCAUUUCCAAGGGCUCCUAUGUCAUGUUAAACUUUUAAAUAAAUUUGCAUGCUUUUCUCUUGUGAAUCUGGUUUUUGUUAUAAGGGCCUUAGCCAUGAACCUAAGAUGGUAAGGGUUUCUUUUCCCCUACAUGCAAUAUAAGUGGAUUUAAAUUUUAUUAAAAUAAAUAGAAAAAUACCUCCCCAGUGUAGACAUGUGUGUAUGUGUGAGGCGCCCAGGCAACUUGUGGUUCCACUUGGAGACGAGCCUCUCCUCUGUACGUCCUUCCCAAAAUAUCACCUUUGCAGUUAAGAUCAAACUUUGAUUUAUGUGGGACUAACUAACAACUGCAGUCGACAAUAGGAAAGCAGCCAGAAUGAUUCCCUGCCGACGUGGUGGAAUUAUUAGACUCCCAUUCUCACAGCAUGGUAAUUAAAGUGUUAAAAUGGAGAGGCACAGGACCAAGGAAGAACGCAUCCAGAAAUUACCCGCACCCAGUCAUUUUCAGGGCACUCAUCUAAUCCUGUCAAUGGAACUUUUUGAGAUGGCUCUAAAUUUCAGUGUGGUUUAGAAGUCCUUCAAGUAGUACGGAAUUUUUUCACUGUCUCUGUCAUCAGUGAGAUUUCUGUCAGGCAUCUCAGCUUGUAGGCCAUGUAGUCUGUCACAACUCCUCCCCCUUGUGGCUGUAGGGUGAAAGCAGCCGCAGACAAUUCCUAGAAGGAGUAGGCUGUUUAUGGACACUGAAAUUUGAAUUUCAUGUAUUUUUAAUGUGUCAUGAGAUAUUCUCUCGAUUUUUUUCCAACAAUUUAAAACUGUAAAAACUAUCCUUAGCCUGCAGGCUAUACAAAAACAGCUGUUUGCCAAUCCUUGCACUAGCUUUGUGAGGGAGGCACAGCUCGCACCCAGCACAGGACCUAGCAAAAUCGAAGAUGCUCAGUAAAUGUUUAUUGAAUGAAUUCAGUGGACAGAUGACCAGAAAAACCCCAUGAUGCCUCAGAAAUACACUCCAAAGGAACUUUUACAAUGUAGUUUUCACAUAGUUAUUUCAUUUAUAUUUGUUUUGUAACAUUUGUACUGCUUUUCGCUUAUUUACUUUUGAGACAAGGUCUCUGUCUCCCAGGCUGGAGUGCAGUGGUGCGAUCUCAGCUCACUGCAACCUCUGCUUCCCAGGUUGAAGUGAUUCUCCUGCCUCAGCCUCCUGAGUAGCUGGGAUUACAGGCAUGAGCCACCAUGCCUGGCCGGGAAUUCAUCUUAUUUUAUAAAACUGCCAAAGUUAUCAAAAAUAAACUAAAACCAGGCCGGGCACGGUGGCUCACACCUGUAAUCCCAGCACUUUGGGAGGCUGAGGCAGGCGGAUCGCUUGAGCUCAGGAGUCGGAGAUGAGCCUGGCCAACAUGGUGAAACCCUGUCUCAACUAAAAAUACAAAAAGCAGCCGGGCAUGGUGGCGCACGCCU
rnacentral:lncRNA from 1 species